rnacentral:rRNA from 1 species
UACGUAGGGUGCAAGCGUUAAUCGGAAUUACUGGGCGUAAAGCGUGCGCAGGCGGUUUUGUAAGUCUGUCGUGAAAGCCCCGGGCUCAACCUGGGAAUUGCGAUGGAGACUGCAAGGCUUGAAUCUGGCAGAGGGGGGUAGAAUUCCACGUGUAGCAGUGAAAUGCGUAGAGAUGCGGAGGAACACCGAUGGCGAAGGCAGCCCCCUGGGCCUGCACUGACGCUCAUGCACGAAAGCGUGGGGAGCAAACAGG